rnacentral:misc_RNA from 1 species
GAUGAAGAACGUAGCGAAAUGCGAUAAGUAAUGUGAAUUGCAGAAUUCAGUGAAUCAUCGAGUCUUUGAACGCACAUUGCGCCCCCUGGUAUUCCGGGGGGCAUGCCUGUCCGAGCGUCAUUACAACCCUCAAGCUCAGCUUGGUGUUGGGCCCCGCCGCCCCGGCGGGCCCUAAAGUCAGUGGCGGUGCCGUCCGGCUCCGAGCGUAGUAAUUCUUCUCGCUCUGGAGGCCCGGUCGUGUGCUCGCCAGCAACCCCCAAUUUUUUUCAGGUUGACCUCGGAUCAGGUAGGGAUACCCGCUGAACUUAAGCAUAUCAAUAAGCGGAGGA